CAAAUGGUGAUUGACAACAUGAUAGGUGAGAAUUCGUGUAAGGAAACUGUACAAAGCUUUGGAAGAGGAUGCUUUCAGGCCUGUUUUGCACCACUAUGAUGGUCCCAAGUUUCGACUCGAGCUCACCAUUCCUGAGACACUUGCCCUGCUGGAUCUCUGUGAACAAGCUGGUUCUCCCUAAGCUCAAAGCCCUUGCAGAUCCUAUUUACAUCUGGGAAUUAGUGUCUGCUUAUUCCAAGGCUUCAAGUGUGUAUUUGUAUGUGUGCUUUCUACAUAAAAGUAGAAACUAAGAAUGUCUCACUGGAAAAUAAACCAUGAUUGUGAAAGAUUCAUGUGCCACAAAUGUGUUCAUAUAUAAUCAUAAAACUAGAAUGAUCAUCACAUCUCCUUGCAAAAAUAUAUUGUUUAUGAGUC